AUUGAACGCUGGCGGCAUGCCUUACACAUGCAAGUCGAACGGCAGCACGGGAGCAAUCCUGGUGGCGAGUGGCGAACGGGUGAGUAAAGUAUCGGAACGUGCCCAGUCGUGGGGGAUAACGUAGCGAAAGCUACGCUAAUACCGCAUACGAUCUAUGGAUGAAAGCGGGGGAUCGCAAGACCUCGCGCGAUUGGAGCGGCCGAUAUCAGAUUAGGUAGUUGGUGAGGUAAAGGCUCACCAAGCCGACGAUCUGUAGCUGGUCUGAGAGGACGACCAGCCACACUGGGACUGAGACACGGCCCAGACUCCUACGGGAGGCAGCAGUGGGGAAUUUUGGACAAUGGGCGCAAGCCUGAUCCAGCAAUGCCGCGUGCAGGAUGAAGGCCUUCGGGUUGUAAACUGCUUUUGUACGGAGCGAAAAGGCUUCCACUAAUACUGGGGGCUCAUGACGGUACCGUAAGAAUAAGCACCGGCUAACUACGUGCCAGCAGCCGCGGUAACAC
rnacentral:rRNA from 1 species